AGUAUUUUAAAUGCGUAGUAUCACUUUGAGAGAUGUGCAAGCGUUUUAAUAGCUUUUUUUUUUCCCCUGGCAGAAAUAGAAAAAUUCAGUCACUAUGAGGAUUAUUUUUCACAAAAAGAAAUCAAUAUAAUUCUGAUGGAAAAUGUUAUGACAGGAUAAAAAAAAAGUAUGUAAGUACUGAUCUCGGUCACCACCAUGCUCAAGAUGAGGAAUAAAUGCCUCUGGCACAAGCAUCAAAAUCCAUAGGAGACAGGAUUCAAGGUUUCCAUUGGAGAGAGCCCUUAUUCACAACCAAUCAAUAUCUCCUUUCUGCUCCUGGAAAGAGAGGAAGACUUCCACCACCUCAACAAUAA
rnacentral:lncRNA from 1 species